UUUCCACAGCCUCUACACAUGUGGGCAUACUACAGCGCAUGUGCAUUAGCUGUGGGAUCA
rnacentral:pre_miRNA from 1 species